UUUUCAGAGCUUUUUAGUUCCAGAAGAGGGUAUUUUGUUAAGAGCUGACUACUGUGCUUGGCUUUUUUCAUUUGUGAAGUGAGAAGCAGGGGUGGGUGAUUUCUCGGUGAUGGUCUGGCUGUAAAGGUUUGUGAAUGCAUGGGAUGGUUGAGUGCAAAACGGAAACACAAUUCUUCUAUGAAAUGGAAGAACAUAAGAAUUGGGAGACCUUGAUUAGGUUCUUCUGAGUUUGGUAUUUUGUGAUUGUUAGUAUUGGUAAUUUUGUUCUUGUUUUCUAUAUUGUAAUAGUUACCUGUUACUUUUCCUUUCAAUAAAAUGUUCCUUAACCAUGUGGAGACGGGCUGUGAGGCGAGUCUUGUAGCAAGGACCCCUUUAUCAUUGCUUUCAGAGGCGCUUGCUAACUCUUUUUCUUGUUGCUUCUGUUAUCUUUACUGACCCUGCAGUGAACUCCUGUCUUUCAGAGGAUAUAGUAGUUAAUAUAGCAUGGAUCGUGCUUUCCUUAAUAAAAAAUUGGUUUAAAAGAAAAUAAUAUUUGCCAGUUUAUUAAACUUUACAGACCACAAAAUGUAAUAUUGUGUGACCACUAAAGAAAAUUUCUUGAUUAAGAAAAAUUAAAUGUAAAGGGGAGGGUUAGUUAUUUUUGCAAAUGCUUGUUUACUGGGUUUAUUAUGCUUAAAAUAUGACACAAAUUACUCUAAAAUUCCUUAUGAAAACUUUAAAAACAUUCAUAAAAAACUUUGUAUAACUUAAUGAACCUCUAUACUCUUAAUAGCUUCAUAUAAUAGUAAGUUUAAUGAUUAUUAGUAUUUUACUGUUUUGGGGAGAGUAGGAGUACUGCAGUAUUUUAAACAAAUUCUGGCUAUCAUAACAUCUCAAGCCUGAGUAUUUGAGCUUACAUUUCUAAUAAAAAAGGUUUUUUCUUUACAUAAUCAUGACACCAUUGUCACUUCAUAAAACCAAAAGUAAUUUUUCAGUAAUCUGAUGUCUGGUCUGUUGAAAUCUUGCCAUAGUGCUGAUUUUUGGUUGCUGGGUAUCAGGUCGUCCUAAUCUUUGGCAGUGCCUCGUUCACCUGCUUUGUAUCACACCGUUCACUUGUUGAAAAGACCCCGUCGGUGUCCAGUGGAGUGCCCCAGACUUGUGAUAUUUCUGUUUUAGGACUGAGAGGAGUUUAGGAAUUGGAGAUGGUUUUGCCUGCUGAGCUGGAGUGGGGGUUACGCUGUGCUGGAGAAGUGACACGAUUUGCUCAAGGGCACCCCCCGCCCCCGCCGCCCCGCCUCCCACAGGGAGGAUGAGAGUCAGUGCUUUGACUGCAUGGUGCCCAUGCUUCUUCACUGGCAGGUGAUGGAGGAAGACCUGAAUUUUAUCACGCUGGAUGGUAGAGAAGCCUGCUCUCUCCAGGAGGAGGUACUUACUGUCUUCCAGGGCUGUUGUCUCUGCUGUACAUACAUCCUUGGAAAGACUGUGUGAAAGCCCCCAGGGCCUGCACUGGCCAAGCUGCAGAAAUACCAGGACCCAUGGAGACUGGUCUGUCAGCAGGCCUCUGAGUUCCUGGUCUAAAGGAUGCCACAGCCUUCGCAGGGUACCAUUCUUGCACACAGCUGUUUAUUCUGGAGCCGCAUCCCAGAGACCUUUUCUAUUUCUGUAAUGCUUCAUGCUGUAUUCAGGACCACGAAUCCUGAAAUAACAUUUGAUUCUCU